AAUGUUUAAUAUAGUUUAAUAAAUUUUUAGAUUAACAAAUGUUAUUAACAGUCUUAAACAAUUUCUCAUAAUAUCUUAAAUAAAAAAUAUUUUUUUUUAUCAUUUUUCCCUUAUUAUUUAAAUAUUCUUUGAAUUUUCUGGAUGAAAUUUGUCUUAUUAGUUAUGCAUUCAUUGAAUGGUUCAUUUAUUUUACUUUUUUUAAUAUUCCUAAGCAAUAAAAUUAAUAAAAAUAAUGUUUUAAUAAAAAUAUUUAUCUUCUUGUAGAAAUAUUUUAAGGGAUCAUGUAACUCAUGAAGGCAAAGAAUGAUCAAUCUUUAUUCUAGUGUCAUUUAAUUUAUCAUUUAUUUUUACAGUCAAACCAUUUGUUAUAGUGCUGGUUUAGCUUUGGUUUCUUUAGCUAAGUUUUUUUUUUUGGUUAAAAUGUUAAGAUUUUCUAGCUAACUUUUUGUUGAUGGUUUUUUUUCUUCAAAUAAUAAGAUUAUUGAUUUAAAAUCAGUGAUUAAUGAUAACAGAUAUGUACUUACAUAAAAUAUUUUUUAUAAGAAGUUAUUAUUUCUAUUUAACUUAUUACUUCGGAAUAUGAAAAACUAAAAUUGGUAAACUAUACAAUGAAUGCAUAACCAAUUGAGCAAAAUUUAAUGAAUUGCAAUUUCAUCCAUAAAAUUUAAUAAAUAUCUAAGUAAUAAAAGAAAAAAAAAUGAGAAAAGAGACAAAAAGUAAUAUUUUAUUUAAUAUAUAAUGAGAUAUUCUUUAAGAGUUUUAAUUACAUUUUAAUGUAUAGAUAAUUUACUAUAAUUUAAAAUUUUAAAUUCAAUUAAAUAAUAGCUUUUUAUUAAAAUAAUAGUCUUAUUUGAUUUAGAACCCCAUUUGAGGUAUUAGAGUAAUAAGGUUUCUCUUGUAUAUUUGUAUAUAUAUAUGUUUUAUUGUCUGUCCCUAUGAAAUAUAACCAUCAAGUAGCAAAGAAACAAAUGAUUUAUCAGAAGAGUAUUACGAUAAUGUCAUCAUCAUAUUUUGCUAUCAUGUGCCUCAUCAUGAUUGCUCUCGUUCCUCUACAUCAAUUGGGAAACGCAGAUGGUUUAGAAUUCCUCAAAAAGUGUGUCCAUACCCGUUGGUGUAAAGGAAAACAAUGUAUUUGCUGUAACAACGCGCCUGAAAUAUUAAAAUGUUAUGAUACACAAGCAGCAUGCAUGGCUCAUUGCACAAACCCAAUCAUUCGAGUGGCUUAAGAAAGUUUAAGAAAUAAGAAUAUAAUCA